CCCUUAGAUGUUCUGGGCCGCACGCGCGCUACACUGAUGCAUUCAACGAGCCUAUCCUUGACCGACAGGUCCGGGUAAUCUUUGAAUCUGCAUCGUGACGGGGAUAGAUUAUUGCAAUUAUUAAUCUUCAACGAGGAAUGCCUAGUAGGCGCAAGUCAUCAGCUUGCGUCGAUUACGUCCCUGCCCUUUGUACACACCGCCCGUCGCUCCUACCGAUUGGGUGUGAUGGUGAAAUGUUCGGAUCGGCCGUUUGUCGCGGUUUCCGCGUCAUGUGGCUGAGAAGUUCAUUAAACCCUCCCACCUAGAGGAAGGAGAAGUCGUAACA
rnacentral:rRNA from 1 species